rnacentral:lncRNA from 1 species
AAAGAAGCAUGCCUCUCCUUGGUUUUGUGACAGCUUUUGAUAUUUGUGUGGAGCAUAUACAAUUCUUAGGAAAAAGUUGCUUUGUAUUUGUUUGAGAUAAAUCAUCAAGUGUUCGUUUACUUGGUGAUUUAUCAAACUGGUGACUCAUACGGUUGAGGGCACCAAGAUCGUUGUGACGGUUUUUCUCUGGUGAGCUUGAAUCAAUCGUGACCAGUAUCGGAUUCAACAUAAGGAGAGUUGGAAGAACUCCGGCGAGCUUGAAGCAAUCGUGACCAGUAUUGCGUUCAACAUAAGGAGUGUUGAAGAUCAUCCCGUGACAGAAGUUGAGUUAUGAAGAAGUCGGUAAACAUUAUCUAGAAUGUCUAGGAUAAGUGUGUGAGUACUUCUUGUAAUCAUCGUUCUAUAGUGGAUUUGUGUUGGACUGAGGAGUUCCGUGGAUUUUCCUCAGAGGUGGGGUUUUACCACGUAAAAUAAUUUUCUGCACGUUCUUUUAUUUUAUG